GUGAAUCAUCGAAUUUUUGAACGCAAAUUGCACUCUCUGGUAUUCCGGAGAGCAUGCCUGUUUGAGGAUCAGUUUAAAUAAAAACCGGUGUGGUUGCUGUCUUCCGUGGUGACGCACCGGAUGUGGGUCGUCUUGCCUUCGGUUAAGUGACCUAAAAGUUUUCAUGAUGUUUGUGAACGUAUUUAAAUGAUUUUACGUACGU
rnacentral:misc_RNA from 1 species